UUUUGGUCCACUAACUUCAUCCCUCCCCCAAUUCACGCCUGCGCCUCCAUCCUAUUUCUGUAAUUCCAAACUUCUAAUGGCGUCACACACCACAGGUCCACAGCUCCACGACGUCCGCCUGCUUGAGCCGGCGCCUCCACUUGCAGCGAGCCCGUCCGCCUCUGCUUGAGGCGGCUCCUGCACUCGCGGAACCACCACGACAUCGCGUCAGCCGCUACCUGGAACAACAACUCGAGUUGUCGGCGUUGCUUCACUCCAAGCUAUCAUGUGGAUUCCGGUAGACUGAUACGUAUCAGUUUAUCACUUAUGUUUAUUUGAAAUUUUCUUAUCUGUUUUAUUUUGCAAAUUCUCUAUCAGAUUAAUUUGGAAAGGAAUCAAGGAUGAUUUAUAUUUCUAUUAUCGAUUACAAGCAAUUCCUAUUUAUCGAUUAUAAGCUUACAAUCAUUUAUUAAUUUUUUUUGGAUAUAAUAAUCAAGACAUCUUUGUGUAUCUAAUCCAAUCCGAUUCUAGUUAAAAGUGUUUCAUAACUAAAUAUUUAAUGAAAUUCAUUCUUAACUUAAGACGAAAGAAAUAAUCAUUUAUAUUUCAAUUUGGUUCCAUCGAGUUACAUGAAAUUUGUGAUAUACAUAGGAUUUAAAUUUGAAUUUAAUGCAUUCGAUGCGUGGUGUUCGACCAAAAUGCGUGGUGUUUGUUUGUUUGAUAAAAUUUAGGUAGCCAUUUUGUGUUGAUCUUUGUUUGUAUUCUUUUCUAAUGUUGUAGGUGAUUAAGACGAAGGGAUCCACUCCAAAGAUAAUAUUGAAG
rnacentral:lncRNA from 1 species